rnacentral:rRNA from 1 species
AAGUCGAACGGUAACAGGCCUUCGGGUGCUGACGAGUGGCGAACGGGUGAGUAAAGCAUCGGAACGUACCCAGAGGUGGGGGAUAACGCAGCGAAAGCUGUGCUAAUACCGCAUGUGAUCUGAGGAUGAAAGCGGGGGACCUUCGGGCCUCGCGCCUUUGGAGCGGCCGAUGUCGGAUUAGCUAGUUGGUGGGGUAAAGGCCUACCAAGGCGACGAUCCGUAGCUGGUCUGAGAGGACGACCAGCCACACUGGGACUGAGACACGGCCCAGACUCC